CAAUUGUUGGUUUCAACGAGGAAUGCCUAGUAAGCGCGAGUCAUCAGCUCGCGUUGACUACGUCCCUGCCCUUUGUACACACCGCCCGUCGCUCCUACCGAUUGAAUGGUCCGGUGAAGUGUUCGGAUCGCGGCGACGGGGGCGGUUCGCCGCCCCCGACGUCGCGAGAAGUCCAUUGAACCUUAUCAUUUAGAGGAAGGAGAAGUCGUAACAAGGUUUCCGUAGGUGAACCUGCGGAAGGAUCAUUG
rnacentral:rRNA from 1 species